rnacentral:rRNA from 1 species
AGUGAACGCUGGCGGUAGGCCUAACACAUGCAAGUCGAACGGCAGCACAGUAAGAGCUUGCUCUUACGGGUGGCGAGUGGCGGACGGGUGAGGAAUACAUCGGAAUCUACUUUUUCGUGGGGGAUAACGUAGGGAAACUUACGCUAAUACCGCAUACGACCUACGGGUGAAAGCAGGUGAUCUUCGGACCUUGCGCGAUUGAAUGAGCCGAUGUCGGAUUAGCUAGUUGGCGGGGUAAAGGCCCACCAAGGCGACGAUCCGUAGCUGGUCUGAGAGGAUGAUCAGCCACACUGGAACUGAGACACGGUCCAGACUCCUACGGGAGGCAGCAGUGGGGAAUAUUGGACAAUGGGCGCAGGCCUGAUCCAGCCAUACCGCGUGGGUGAAGAAGGCCUUCGGGUUGUAAAGACCUUUUGUUGGGAAAGAAAAGCAGCAGGUUAAUACCCCGCUGUUCUGACGGUACCCAAAGAAUAAGCACCGGCUAACUUCGUG